rnacentral:sRNA from 1 species
GCUGGGCAUGGUGGUGCAUGCCUGUAAUCCCAUUAACUUGGGAGGCUGGGGCAGGAAGACUGAAAGUUCAAGGCCAACCUUAGCAAUUUAGUGAGACCCUGUCUCAA